GAUGAACGCUGGCGGCGUGCCUAAUACAUGCAAGUCGAGCGCAGGAAACUGACGGAACUCUUCGGAGGGAAGGCAGUGGAAUGAGCGGCGGACGGGUGAGUAACACGUAAGGAACCUGCCUCAAGGAUUGGGAUAACUCCGAGAAAUCGGAGCUAAUACCGGAUAGUUCAACGGACCGCAUGGUCCGCUGAUGAAAGGCGCUUCGGCGUCACCUAGAGAUGGCUGUGCGGUGCAUGAGCUAGUUGGUGGGGUAACGGCCCACCAAGGCGACGAUGCAUAGCCGACCUGAGAGGGUGAUCGGCCACACGGGGACUGAGACACGGACCAGACUCCUACGGGAGGCAGCAGUAGGGAAUCUUCCACAAUGGACGAAAGUCUGAUUGAGCAACGCCGCGUGAGUGAUGAAGGUUUUCGGAUCGUAAAGCUCUGUUGUAAGGGAAGAACACGUACGAGAGGAAAUGCUCGUACCUUGACGGUACCUUACGAGAAAGCCACGGCUAACUACGUGCCAGCCGCCGCCGUAA
rnacentral:rRNA from 1 species